GAAAAUGAAUGCAAGAGGAUUCUUCUUGAACCCAAAGAUGGGAAGUGACCUCCUGCUUGCAGCAGCAGGAGAAAAGAUGGGUGGAUACACUACCGCCAAUUAUGUUUGGGAUCUUUUGCAAAGCCACAAGAUCACUCCAUGGCUGCCUGCAGUGAAGGCCUUCUAUGAAGGCUUAAAGGAAAGGGAGAUACCAUCAGAUAACCCAAGGCUUGUAUUGGUUGGGCGCACAUAGGACAAUGUAAACCUCAGAUUUGGAGGGAGGCGAAAUGUCUAGAACAGAUUAAUCAAGUGCUUUCUUACUUUGAGAUGCUUCCAAGAGCAUCAGGUGUGGUCUCCAUGCCCACUUGAUCCAGAAGAAAGCACAGUAGAAAUCUUGAAGGCCAGCUACGUGUCCGUAAGUUCUGCUCGGUUGCGAUCGCAACUUGUGUCACAGAGUCAUUACUCGAGCAGAUGGUCGACUGAACUUCCACAACUUUUGGUUUUCUACACCAAUAAUAUUUAGCCACUGACAACUUCUGAAGUGAGAGGAACAGAAACCAAAGUUGGUGAAGAAUAACUUGGUCUCAACAAUCACUAGUCUGGAUUCUGAGUUUUUGAGUUCUUCGAGUGUUGCAACUGUGUGAUUGGAAAUGUCUACUACCGUUAUAGUAGUGGAUAGUAACAUGCUUUUGUGCAUUGGAUUCAUUGCAGAAACAUAAACUUGUAAUAGGUACA